AUUGAACGCUGGCGGCGUGCCUAAUACAUGCAAGUCGAACGCAGUGGGGACGGGUGAGUAACACGUGGGUAACCUCCCAUCAGAGGGGAUAACACUUGGAAACAGGUGCUAAACCGAUACUGAUGGAUGGACCCGCGGUGCAUUAGCUAGUUGGUGAGGUAACGGCUCACCAAGGCCACGAUGCAUAGCCGACCUGGAAGGGGGAUCGGGCCAACUGGGACUGGGACACGGCCCAGACUCCUAAGGGAGGCAGCAGGAGGGAAUCUUUGGGCAUGGACGAAAGUCUGAACGAGCAAAGCCGCGUGAGGGAAGAAGGUUUUCGGAUCGGAAAAAGCUGGUGGUAGGGAAGCGGUAACUAACCAGAAAGCCAAGGCUAACUACGGGGCAGCAGCCGCGGUAAUAC
rnacentral:rRNA from 1 species